AGUGAACGCUGGCGGUAGGCCUAACACAUGCAAGUCGAACGGCAGCACAGUAAGAGCUUGCUCUUACGGGUGGCGAGUGGCGGACGGGUGAGGAAUACAUCGGAAUCUACUUUUUCGUGGGGGAUAACGUAGGGAAACUUACGCUAAUACCGCAUACGACCUACGGGUGAAAGCAGGGGAUCUUCGGACCUUGCGCGAUUGAAUGAGCCGAUGUCGGAUUAGCUAGUUGGGGGGGUAAAGGCCCACCAAGGCGACGAUCCGUAGCUGGUCUGAGAGGAUGAUCAGCGACACUGGAACUGAGACACGGUCCAGACUCCUACGGGAGGCAGCAGUGGGGAAUAUUGGACAAUGGGCGCAAGCCUGAUCCAGCCAUACCGCGUGGGUGAAGAAGGCCUUCGGUUUGUAAAGCCCUUUUGUGGGGAAAGAAAAGCAGCAGGUUAAUACCCCGCUGUUCUGACGGUACCCAAAGAAUAAGCACCGGCUAACUUCGUG
rnacentral:rRNA from 1 species